CAGGCAUUCUUGUCGCGCACAUGAUGUCAAUUGUUUCGAAGGUUGAGUGUUCCUUUGUUUUUUGAUUUGAACACGCACGAAAAGUUAGGGAUCAGAAAGCAAGUGGUGGAAUAACUCCUUGCUCAAGCAACCCUCCGGCGCGUCCCGCCCAUACUCGCCAAACUAUUAUUCUGGCUUGCAGAAAUCCCGCAAAGGGUGGCUUCAUGGAUGCGUUUUGCCAAUUCCCCCAAGCUUCUCUCUGUUUGCCGCAGGAGGGAGGGUACAAAAGUUGCGGAUUAAACACUAUUUAGACAUGAUUGAUUUCCUAGAUUGAAAACGGAAUGCAAGGAAAAUAUGCCGACUAUUCAUUCGAUACACCUGAUGGCAGAAAAUUACACCGUCCUCGACAGGAAAGUCUGGCUCGAAUUGGCAAAUGUGUGGACAGAGGUCAUCCUGCUUUCCCGCCCAAUCAAACAUUUCCUUUGCUUCGUUUUGCUGCAGUAUAUC
rnacentral:sRNA from 1 species